GCGGUUGCCUCCUAAAGAGUAACGGAGGCGCCCAAAGGUUCCCUCAGCCUGGUUGGCAAUCAGGUGUUGAGUGUAAGUGCACAAGGGAGCUUGACUGUGAGACCGACGGGUCGAGCAGGGACGAAAGUCGGGACUAGUGAUCCGGCAGUGGCUUGUGGAAGCGCUGUCGCUCAACGGAUAAAAGGUACCCCGGGGAUAACAGGCUGAUCUUCCCCAAGAGUCCAUAUCGACGGGAUGGUUUGGCACCUCGAUGUCGGCUCGUCGCAUCCUGGGGCUGGAGUCGGUCCCAAGGGUUGGGCUGUUCGCCCAUUAAAGCGGUACGCGAGCUGGGUUUAGAACGUCGUGAGACAGUUCGGUCCCUAUCCGCUGUGCGCGUAGGAAUAUUGAGAAGGGCUGUCCCUAGUACGAGAGGACCGGGACGGACGAACCUCUGGUGUGCCAGUUGUUCUGCCAAGGGCAUGGCUGGUUGGCUACGUUCGGAAAGGAUAACCGCUGAAAGCAUCUAAGCGGGAAGCCUGCUUCGAGAUGAGUAUUCCCACCAACUUGAUUGGUUAAGGCUCCCAGUAGACGACUGGGUUGAUAGGCCAGAUGUGGAAGCCCGGUAACGGGUGGAGCUGACUGGUACUAAUAGGCCGAGGGCUUGUCCUCAGUUG
rnacentral:rRNA from 1 species